CCCUAACCAGUAAGUUAGGGGGAAGGCGAUUAGGGUGCCAGAAAGCUCUAAACUCUUGUGGAGACGUCUGCAGGUUUUAAAGGAAUAUUCCCCCAUUUACCAGUAAGUAAAGGGUGUGGCAAGGCUGUCAGUAUGGGACAGCGGUUCAGUUCUAAGGGAUUACCUCCUCCUCCCCAGGGAGAAACGUGUGAAAAAUAUGCGCCACAACGCACCAAGUGCAUCAAUAUAUGGGUUAAAACCUUUGCAGCUCUACAAUAUUAAAAAGGACGGAGGAAGCGACAAAAGAGAAAAUAGGAAAAAAAAAGACAAUGGAUGACAGCGCUCCCUGAACAUUAGACACCUGCCCUCCCCACGGCUUCACUCCACCAGAGACGCUACUUCAGCAUGACCUGAAAGGGAGAGGUCCUGCCCGCCUGCUGCAGAUGACAGCGUGAGAGUUUCCACCAGAACAAAACUCAGAAGAAGUCUGGUAAAAAGCCCAAAACCCACUGAGAUGGGCAACAAUCCAUGCUGUUUGCCAGAGCCAGACGAGCGUUACACUGGACUCAUCUUGAGAGCACAUCUUAUGCAGGCAGAGGAGAAACAGGCUGGAACAAAGUUUUCCCUCCCUCCUGAAGAAGUUAAAGUGGACAAGGAAAGAGCAAAUGUCCACCAACAGGCCAGGGGAGGGCCUGUGUUUUUGGACUGAUAGGGGACUGUAUGCCACAACAGUGCGACUCUGGAGCAGUCAAGAAACUGAGGGGGGUAACGUACAAACACACACACAUUUGCAAAUAUCUUUUCUGUUUUUCUGCAAUGAAGAAAGCUUAUUAACUGCAGCUGUUGUGGUUUUGAUGUUGACAGACACAACAAGAGAUUGAAUAUUAUUCCUGUGUUAAAGAGAUUCUUUUCCAAAAGGGUCAUAAAAUAAUUGUUUUAGAGAAACAAGUUCUCUCUCUCAUCAUGGUAGAUUCAGGGUCAAGUAUUGCUACUAAAAGUCCUUAAAAAACAAAGAGGAAUUUUAAACACCUCCAAAACUCAGUGGUAACCAUGUGUUUCUAUGUCAGCCUCAGGACAGAUCCCAUGGAGGACCAUUUUAAAGUCCAUUGCAUGUGUAACACCUGAUGGACUCUCCUUCAGGUAUUGUUUCCUGUUGUCAGAGUGAACCCCGUUAAUCUAACAGGUAGAGACCUCUGAGAAUAGGGUUAGUUUCACUGCAGAGGGUCUCCCUGCGGUCUGACACAGUACUUCCUGUGGGGUACAGCUUUGGCCACAAGCGUUAACUGAAGCUUGAAUGAAAGGUGCAAAUUCAUUGUUUUCACAGCAGCCGCUGGGAAGAGGUUAGAUUAGCUGAUUUUCCCACUCUUCUGAUUUUAUGAAGCCUGCUGACUUACACUGUACCUCAUAUCUGGUCCUGACAAAACUAUGAAAAGCUUGACUCUGUAUUUUCUCUUCUGGGAAAAGAAAGAAAAUCUAAUCACGUCUCUGUUGCAUUGGAAUGUAAACUCACUUGUUAUUUUCUCUAACACCCCAACAGCAAAAUGUUUCAGAGUAAUGGGUUCAGUUAAACACAUCUUCCCUGACAAAAAACUGUAAAAUGACAAUGGAAAGAUGUAUUUUUUGGUUCUGAAGGUAAGUAAGAAUCUAAUUAAGUGGUACCACAAAAACUCUAAUAUCAUGUUCUCUAAAUACUCUGCUUAGAAAGGCCUUCUUCCAGAAACUGUGGAGCUAUUUCCCACCACAGAACCAGAUUUUGAAGCAUGCUUUUCCUUUAAUCCAAAACAGAUCUGUGUUGUUUUAUUAUUAUGUCUGAAGCUCCUUAUGAACUCUGGGUUAAAAGAAAAUAUGACGCGGGGCUAAUUUAUAGCUGUGAACUAGUGAAUGAAACCCCUAAAUCUGUUAUUGUUGAUGCCAGAAAUAAUAAACCCUUUAGUCUGAAAACAUUUAAGGUAUUUAAUACAUUUUCUUUAAUUUCUGCAGAAAGCUGGCAUCAGUGUUUAAAGCAGUGGUCCUCAACCUGUGGUUCCUGGACGCCUGAGGCCCGUUAGCCUGUUAGAUUGUGGGUCAGUGAAGAAAAUUUAAAUAAAUCAAUAAAGGUAUCAUUUAACAGAACAGAGUACAUUCAAAUAAACAAAUAAAUAAAAAAAAAAACAAAAUACUACACUUAUUAAAUAAAAGAUCUAAACCAAUGAUGGGUUCCGGCUUUAAAAUCUAUUAAUACUCAAAUAAGGAUUCUACUCUGGGGAACACAAAUUAAUAAAGGCUCCUCUUUUAACAUUAAAGAGGAAGAGCGGCUCAAACUCCAGUCUCCUCCCCAGGGAGAAAUGUUUGAUUUCAUGACAACUUGGAUGAGUUUGAAAAUGUUCAAAUAAAGGUUUCAUUUUUGGGGACUUAUAGGGUAAAAGAAUAAUUAAGUCCUUCACUACCUAGGAGUACCAAACAAAAUUCACAUUAGUACAAAAGAUAAUUUCAAAUUACCAAUAUUUCAAAUAAUGGAACAUUUUCUAGCCUUUGAAUUAUAACAGAGGGGUCCUGAGAAUAACUUUCUUCCCCAACUUUCAAAACUUUAAUAACCCUAAUUUAAAGUUUAUUAUGUCCAGUCCCUUUUGAAGUGCUAUAAUGAAAUAAAAUCUAGUUGGGGAUUAAACUUAAUUGUUAAUUUUUCUGUUUAAGUUUUAACACUGCAGUGUUUGUUUGUUUAGUGUCUGGGUAUAACCAUAAAAUGUCAAUGCCGGCCUAAAAAUAAUUGUCUCCAUUUAACCUGAGCAGAGAAAUUCUGAAAUACAGCUGUGAUCAAAUUAAACUUAACAAAAAGAGAAAUUUAACAGCAACUCUGCUGUCAUUACAAUGUUUAAAGUAUGAAGAAUUAGCAAAGAGUUUCAGCAGCAAAACAUUUGGAUUCAUAUCAGAGAAGACUGCUGCUGUGCUCCUAAAUUAUUUGAGAUCUCUUUGAAUUGUGUUCACUUAUCUUUAAACAGGAUCCUGAUGAUUAUCAAUCAAAGCAUCUGGAGAUAUGCUAAGAAAAACAUUUUUGAAAAGAGAUUGUUGAAAAUGUCUUUAAAUUCCUGAAGCUUCAUUAAGUCACUGAGUAGAUUUGACGUAAUUAAAACAUUUAUUAAAUUUGAUAUUUACAAUUUGAUCAGGAAAAAAACUAAAUUUUGUCCAACUGUGUCUCUGUCUGUGAAGUUUGUCUUUGUUUCAUUGGAAUGAAUGAGUGUUUGUUCAUAUGUUGCAUGCUUUAAUAAUUCAUGUUUAGAAUAAUGUUUUCUAACCCAGACUGAUUAAAAACUUCAGUUUUCAGGAAAGCUUCUUAACUCCUAAGAAGCAGCGUGUUUUUGAUGUAAGUUGAUGUUAACAGGUCUGCAGUCUAAGGUCCACUAAGAUGGGUUGGAAGGACAGAACCGUGGGGACCGCCCACAGCCCACCUACAGACAGCCUAUCAGAGGUUGGUUCCACCUGGCUCCGCCCACCUAUUAGGUUUGAACACACCUUAACUUCCAUGGAAACGCUCACCCCUCCCUUCCUGAGUUCAACACUGUUUGAAAGAAAAGUGAAAAUAAUAAAGGGGGCUUGUUAUGAUAACUGCGUUAAAAUGCGGGUUUAUAAAAUGAUUGAGUAAGGAUAAAGCAUGAAAUUUAGAUUUAUGUGUUUUUAUAAUUAAAAUGUUAAUGAAAUCGUUUCAACUUCUUUAAAUAAUUAGUUUUGCUUGCAGAAUCAUUGGGGAUUUAAUGGUGCCAAUAAAUUAAACUAUCUGAAAGUCCAAGAUAUGCCACAAAUAAGGAAUAUAUUUUGAUAACAAAUCUGAGUCAUGAUCCUACACUAUAAUUAAUGAUUACGAUCAAUUGGUAGGAUUUAUGCAUUAGACCUGCAUGAUUUAAAUUUACUCAUCUUAAACCAAGACAAAUCAAGAUGAUGUGACUCAUUUAUAAUUGAAACAUUAAAAUGAACUUCAUAACAUUUAAUGUUUUAUUGUUGAAACUGAGGUGACUGCAAAUAGAAACAACCAGGUUGUUUUUUCCUAUAUUUAUUUAGAUAUAUUCACAGUGGUGAACUGAGACCAUUGACUCAUGACAUUAUCGACAGACACACAAUCCUCCACUUCUGCCAGGAGUCCAUCGUGUAUCCGGAGAUAACGUCCCGUCCGGGCCAGCUGGCUCUCCCGACCCCUGUCUUCUCGUCAAGAAAUUUUUAUCAAUUGCAUUGAGAGACCAGCUGACCAAAUCCAUAUUUUGGAAGAAUUUGGAAGACAUGCAAAAAGAGGCUCCAAAAAAAGACAAGACACAGAGCUGAAGCAGGGCAGAUAUGGGAGGGGUGCGGGAGACAGAGAAAAAGCGUCCACCUCCACUGAGAGCAGGAAAAGAAAGAGAAAUAUCUCUAUUUGAAGAUUUUUGAGCUUUAAUAUAAUGCAAACUGAGUUAAGCAUCUGGAGUAAUAAUGAACCACUGCAUUUGAAUUUCAUGCAAAAUAAGGGUAGACAUAAGUUUCAUUUUGUUUUGCUGCAAUGAAAACACAAAUAAUUUAUUUAUUCUAGAACUGUUGAAGGCCACUGAAAACAGCUAUUACUGUAGAAGUUUGUCUGCAACCGUAUAGUCAACCGUACUGGGUUAUUGGACCAGCCAAGGAAGAGACAUCGAAGGUUCAAACGCAAACAGAGUCCAUUCCAAGGUGCUGCUGGUGGCUCGAACAGUGGCUGCUUAUCGCAGACAGCUUCCUAAUCCACCAGAUGACUCCACUCCUGAAGGACAUUGGCCCAAGCCAAUGGGCUAGAGCACUAGGCCUGCUCCAACCAUCACAGGAUGUAAAGAAAGGAGAUCACCCCAUGAAGGACAACGGCCCACCACAAGCCAAAGAACUGUAAGCUAAUCACUGGAGAGUGAUUGAAGAAGUGGGUGAAGAACACUGUUUUUACAAUGGGCAUAAUUAUCCCUUGGGCAGUGUAACGUUUGCUUUAAAUAAGAUCACGGAUGAGAAGAAGAUGUCUUUUAUCUACCUCAAGUCUCCCAAAUUGAAGAUGUACAGAAGAUGGGACUUUUUGCAUGUUUGUUCUCUGUCUUCAUCAUUGUUAUGUUAUGUUGGUUUAUUCUUUCCAUGUUUUUUUUUAUCAAAGCUUAUCAGGUCUGACAGAGCUAUCUCCACAUCAGAACAACUGAGACAGGUAUCCGUAAAGGUAACCCUAAGAAUACCACAGUGGCAGCGAGGAUUGACCUCUGUGACGUGGUACCCCGCAGAGGUCAUGACAGUUGGUUUCAGAAUGGAGUAACAUGUUCAGAUGUUUUAGUGCUUGAGAAAACAGGAAGCUGUGUUAUGUAUUAACUGUUGUCUAUGUAGUACAGAGGCAAGUGAAAAGGGCAUUACUGCCAGCCAACUUGUAGCAAAUGCAUGGAUAUGUUUUGCAGAGUUAGUUUUUGAUAGGAAACUCCAAACUUGCUUUAUAUUCUUCAAAUGAUAAAAGUCAGAUUUAGUAAUAUGGGUAAUGUGGCUUUUGACAUUUAGAUUAAUGUCUAUUAUCACACCCAAAUUCUGUGCUUAAUUUCUGAAUUUAACAGACACCGAACUGGAAUAGGCUUUAAUUUUCUGUCUGUGAGGUUUUGCAGCAAAGAGAUUUAUUUCUGUUUUAUAUUUAUUAAGUUGUAGGAAAUUGUCUGACAUCCAGAUAUUGAUAUAAUUAAGCCAUCAGACAAUAAAAACUGUACAGUUACAAGUCGUCUCCAUGGUUAUAUUUUAUCUUGUGUUUCUAAAUAAUGUGCAAGAGAAACCAUAUAAAGAUUAAAUGCUAUUGGUGUCAUGA